GACGAACGCUGGCGGCGUGCUUAACACAUGCAAGUCGAACGGAAAGGCCCUGCUUUUGUGGGGUGCUCGAGUGGCGAACGGGUGAGUAACACGUGAGUAACCUGCCCUUGACUUUGGGAUAACUUCAGGAAACUGGGGCUAAUACCGGAUAGGAGCUCCUGCUGCAUGGUGGGGGUUGGAAAGUUUCGGCGGUUGGGGAUGGACUCGCGGCUUAUCAGCUUGUUGGUGGGGUAGUGGCUUACCAAGGAUUUGACGGGUAGCCGGCCUGAGAGGGUGACCGGCCGCAUUGGGACGGAGAAACGGCCCAGAGUCCUACGGGAGCUAGCAGUCGGGAACAUUGCACAAUGCGCGGAAGCCUAAUGCAGCAACGCCGCGUGCGGGAAGACGGCAUACGGGUGGUAGACCGCUUUCGCCAAUGACGAAGCGUGAGUGACGGUAAUGGGUAGAGAAGCACCGGCUAACUACAGG
rnacentral:rRNA from 1 species